rnacentral:rRNA from 1 species
UACGUAGGGUGCGAGCGUUAAUCGGAAUUACUGGGCGUAAAGCGUGCGUAGGCGGUUCGUUAAGUUCGUUGUGAAAGCCCCGGGCUCAACCUGGGAAUGGCAAUGGAAACUGGCGGGCUGGAGUAUGGCAGAGGGGGGUGGAAUUCCGCGUGUAGCAGUGAAAUGCGUAGAGAUGCGGAGGAACACCAGUGGCGAAGGCGGCUCACUGGCCCGAUACUGACGCUGAGGCACGAAAGCGUGGGGAGCAAACAGG